rnacentral:rRNA from 1 species
GACGAACGCUGGCGGCGUGCUUAACACAUGCAAGUCGAGCGGUAAGGCCCUUUCGGGGGUACACGAGCGGCGAACGGGUGAGUAACACGUGGGUGACCUGCCCUUAGCUCUGGGAUAAGCCUGGGAAACUGGGUCUAAUACCGGAUAUGACUCCAUGACGCAUGUUGUGGGGUGGAAAGCCUUGUGCGGCUAGGGAUGGGCCCGCGGCCUAUCAGCUUGUUGGUGGGGUGAUGGCCACCAAGGCGACGACGGGUAGCCGGCCUGAGAGGGCGACCGGCCACACUGGGGACUGAGACACGGCCCAGACUCCUACGGGAGGCAGCAGUGGGGAAUCUUGCGCAAUGGGCGAAAGCCUGACGCAGCGACGCCGCGUGAGGGAUGACGGCCUGG